GGGUUGUGAGGUUAAGCGACUAAGCGUACACGGUGGAUGCCCUGGCAGUCAGAGGCGAUGAAGGGCGUGCUAAUCUGCGAUAAGCGCCGGUAAGGUGAUAUGAACCGUUAUAACCGGCGAUACCCGAAUGGGGAAACCCAGUGUGACUCGUCACACUAUCAUUAACUGAAUCCAUAGGUUAAUGAGGCGAACCGGGGGAACUGAAACAUCUAAGUACCCCGAGGAAAAGAAAUCAACCGAGAUUCCCCCAGUAGCGGCGAGCGAACGGGGAGGAGCCCAGAGCCUGAAUCAGCAUGUGUGUUAGUGGAAGCGUCUGGAAAGGCGCGCGAUACAGGGUGACAGCCCCGUACACAAAAGCGCAUGUGCUGUGAGCUCGAUGAGUAGGGCGGGACACGUGGUAUCCUGUCUGAAUAUGGGGGGACCAUCCUCCAAGGCUAAAUACUCCUGACUGACCGAUAGUGAACCAGUACCGUGAGGGAAAGGCGAAAAGAACCCCGGCGAGGGGAGUGAAAAAGAACCUGAAACCGUGUACGUACAAGCAGUGGGAGCACAGGUUUACCUGUGUGACUGCGUACCUUUUGUAUAAUGGGUCAGCGACUUAUAUUCUGUAGCAAGGUUAACCGUAUAGGGGAGCCGUAGGGAAACCGAGUCUUAACCGGGCGUUAAGUUGCAGGGUAUAGACCCGAAACCCGGUGAUCUAGCCAUGGGCAGGUUGAAGGUUGGGUAACACUAACUGGAGGACCGAACCGACUAAUGUUGAAAAAUUAGCGGAUGACCUGUGGCUGGGGGUGAAAGGCCAAUCAAACCGGGAGAUAGCUGGUUCUCCCCGAAAGCUAUUUAGGUAGCGCCUCGUGAAUUCAUCUCCGGGGGUAGAGCACUGUUUCGGCUAGGGGGCCAUCCCGGCUUACCAACCCGAUGCAAACUGCGAAUACCGGAGAAUGUUAUCACGGGAGACACACGGCGGGUGCUAACGUCCGUCGUGAAGAGGGAAACAACCCAGACCGCCAGCUAAGGUCCCAAAGUCAUGGUUAAGUGGGAAACGAUGUGGGAAGGCCCAGACAGCCAGGAUGUUGGCUUAGAAGCAGCCAUCAUUUAAAGAAAGCGUAAUAGCUCACUGGUCGAGUCGGCCUGCGCGGAAGAUGUAACGGGGCUAAACCAUGCACCGAAGCUGCGGCAGCGACGCUGAUGCGUUGUUGGGUAGGGGAGCGUUCUGUAAGCCUGCGAAGGUGGCCUGUGAGGGUUGCUGGAGGUAUCAGAAGUGCGAAUGCUGACAUAAGUAACGAUAAAGCGGGUGAAAAGCCCGCUCGCCGGAAGACCAAGGGUUCCUGUCCAACGUUAAUCGGGGCAGGGUGAGUCGACCCCUAAGGCGAGGCCGAAAGGCGUAGUCGAUGGGAAACGGGUUAAUAUUCCCGUACUUGGUGUUACUGCGAAGGGGGGACGGAGAAGGCUAUGUUGGCCGGGCGACGGUUGUCCCGGUUUAAGCGUGUAGGUGUGUGCUCCAGGUAAAUCCGGUUCACUUUAACACUGAGGCGUGACGACGAGGCACUACGGUGCUGAAGCAACAAAUGCCCUGCUUCCAGGAAAAGCCUCUAAGCAUCAGGUAACAC
rnacentral:rRNA from 1 species